rnacentral:snoRNA from 1 species
CAGAAUAUGUGAUGAUCUCACCCUAAGUUGAACUCUCUCACUGAUUAUGUGAUGAUGCUCAAGGAUCUGAUAUUCUG